UUCAUGAACUUAGAUAUGGUUCAUGGGUUUAUGGUUCAUGGGUUUAUGGUUCAUGAACUUGGUGUAUGGUUUUAUGGUUCAUGGACUUAUUGGUUCAUGGGUUUAUGGUUUAUGGACUUAUGGUUCAUGGGUUAUGGUUCAUGAACUUGGUGUAUGGUUUGUGGUUUAUGAUCCAUGGCUCAUGAGUUUAUGGUUUAUG
rnacentral:lncRNA from 1 species